rnacentral:sRNA from 1 species
GUGGAGGUCAGAGGUCAACCUCUGUGGGGGGUUAAGUGGGUGGGGUCGGUCAGUUCUCUCCCUCCACCCCGGAGGUUCCAGGCAUCAAACUCAGGUCACCAGGCUUGUCCGCAAGCAGUUUUAUCUGCUGAGCUACGUCCGGCUCUGAAACAUUAGAAGAGUUUAAUCGGGAAAGGGGGCCUUGCAGGCAUAAUUGUUAAAGAUCUUGGGAUAAAGAUCAUUGAUUAGUGUGGCUUCUUAAUCCAAUGACCCCUGUCCUUGUCAGAGAUCUGAAGGACGAGAGAGGUACAAGAGGAGAAGGUUAGACCCCUGCAGCCACCAGGGAGGACAGAACCCACUGGAGUAAGGCAGAGAGGCGUUCCGGGAGCCUUUGGGAGGAUUGAAUCCGUAGACGAAUCAAUGAUGCUCUUCUUAUCUCGAGCUCCUUGCGGGUGCUGGCUAUGUCUGCUUGCUGACACCUUCAUUGCAGUCUUCCACCCUCCAACACAGUAGCAAGAUACCGUGUGGCGUUGCAAGGUGUCCUACCGGCAGUGAGGCAGUGAUUCGUUUGCAAGCAGCCCAGGAGGCUAAUUCACCCUUGACCUACCCACGCGGGAAUGUAACAACCUGCAGCUGAGCCACGGGAGUUCUGAGGAGAGGGAAGGUUCUUUAACAUUUGCCCUUGGGGCUGUUUGGGUUAGACACCAUUAAGGCCUUCUGCUCGGAGCUGGGAGAGCUGAGAUAAGUAGUUCUAUCUCUCUGAGCCUUGGCUCCUCCAUGUGCAAGAGCAGAGACCGCCCACCACCUCCCAUGCCCCGCCUACCUCCCCCACCUCCACCCCCAUCCCACAAGGGAGAUAGCGGGAUGCUCCGAGACCAUCUGCCAUCCCAGGAAUGCAGAGUUAAGCUUAAGAUUCAGUCCAGUCCCUUCCUGCCUUCCUAUCACAGCAAGCUGCUGCGUGUGGUUGGGGCCGUUUAUGGGGAUCUGAGAAGCUAAAUGGCCAGCGGUCUGUUGAACUGUGGCUGUGUCUUUUUUAGCACUGGGCUUUUUUGGAUAAAGCAAAGGCCCAGAGGGUGACUAGAUGGCUCCGUGGAUAAAGCACUUGCUCCACAAGCAAAAGGACCCGAGUUCAAUUCCCAGCAUCCAUGAAGAGAAAGUUGGGCGUUGCUGAAAUCCCAGCACUGAGAAGGCGCCUACAGGAACGACCACCUGCUCUGCAAAUCUGCCUCGUUGUUCCUCGAGAGGCUGUUGGCGACAGAAAGCCUGAAGAAUCAGCCUGGGGCUCCCAAGCGUGGUGCUUGGCCUGGAUGAAAGUGCCUAGAAGUGCUGACUCUCAAGCCAGCAGACUCUGCACACUAUAGGCUACACUGCACUAUACACCGAGCCCCGCACCCAGCCCUUCGGCUUCAGCAAAAUCACAAGUGAGUCGUCCUUGCCCGCCCAGAGAGUUUGGGGAAUUACAGCUGCUCUGCCGCUUCUGGUACACGGCCAGGAAAAAACACAAGGAAGUGUGUGAGGCUAACAUUAGGAAGCCGCGGUACUGUUUUCGAAUGUGAGUUGGGUCCAGAGCCAUCCCAAAGUCCGGGAUGCCAACACCUAGGUCUGAUGGUUUCUGACACCUAGAGAAAGGCCCGUCUCCAUGUCCUUCUCCAGAGCCACUGAGGAUGUGCUGUGAUUUGGAUCCAACAUAAUAAUGCAUGUGGAAGCCAGGAAAGCCAGGUUUUAGGCAGUCUCAGAACAUCUGGUGAAUUCAGCUUGGGAAAAAAAAAAAAAAAAAAACGGGCAAAGGGAGAGAGGACAGAGCCCUCUGGAAGCAGUUGCCAGGUACUGGGUAUCCAAAAACAUUGUACGGGUUGACCCAAGUGUUCUCGCUUCCCUCCUCCCUAGUUAGUGGAAUGGAACCCAUGAGAUUGGCGAUGUUAGAAAUUCAGAGGAGAAAAAUGGCUCUUGGCACCAUUGGCAAACACAUGGAGGUCUAUGCCUGGACGACGAGGGGAACGCACGUCUCUCGGAGUUCCCGCCUGCGGUGCGAAUAGAAUGUUCCCGUUCAGAAGUGGAACUACUCACCUGGAUCCGACGCGGGUGACAUGGCACCCGGAGGCUUUAAAAAAAAAAUCUCGGUCCCUAAUGAGAAACAGCCGCGUGCGGAAUAAAAUUAGUGUGCGUUGUGUAAUCCCAGCUGGCCAGUUGCAAGAACGGGGAGGAGGCAGGCGCUGAGGGAACAGGCCCUGGAGCCCAUCCUGACCCUCUGGGUUGGAAUUUCUGAGUCUCUUCUUUGCCUUGAGUCAAAAUAGGAAACCGAACCCUGACCGCGUGCUUCUUUUUAUAGAAUCGAACUUUCUUGCCAGCUUCCUUCGGAGCGCAAGAUCGUCCCUCUUGGUCUCUAAACAAUACGCCAAUCAUCAGAUGUGAGUGAGGAGAGGGGAGGAGGGAGUUAGUGUUCUGGGAGCACCAGACAUAACCCAGGCCCAGGGCCCAAGACAAACACCGAGCCCCGAGUUUGGCUUCCGUACCAGACCUGGUAAAUACAACAUGUUUUUACAGGUUGGGAAA